rnacentral:rRNA from 1 species
UCGCUACUACCGAUUGAAUGAUUUGGUGAGCUGCGAGGACUGCCGCUCCAGUUUGGGUUUCCUUUCUGGAGCGAUGGGAACCGCUACAAACUUGACCAUUUAGAGGAAGUAA